rnacentral:rRNA from 1 species
UAGGGAAUCUUCCAUAAUGGACGCAAGUCUGAUGGAGCAACGCCGCGUGAGUGAAGAAGGCUUUCGGGUCGUAAAACUCUGUUGUUGGAGAAGAAUGGUCGGCAGAGUAACUGUUGUCGGCGUGACGGUAUCCAACCAGAAAGCCACGGCUAACUACGUGCCAGCAGCCGCGGUAAUACGUAGGUGGCAAGCGUUAUCCGGAUUUAUUGGGCGUAAAGCGAGCGCAGGCGGUUUUUUAAGUCUGAUGUGAAAGCCCACGGCUCAACCGUGGAACUGCAUCGGAAACUGUCAUUCUUGAGUGCAGAAGAGGAGAGUGGAACUCCAUGUGUAGCGGUGGAAUGCGUAGAUAUAUGGAAGAACACCAGUGGCGAAGGCGGCUCUCUGGUCUGCAACUGACGCUGAGGCUCGAAAGCAUGGGUAGCGAACAGGAUUAGAUACCCUGGUAGUC